rnacentral:rRNA from 1 species
AGGUGGUGCAUGGUUGUCGUCAGCUCGUGUCGUGAGAUGUUGGGUUAAGUCCCGCAACGAGCGCAACCCUCGACCUUAGUUGCCAGCAUUCAGUUGGGCACUCUAAGGUGACUGCGGCUAAAAGUCGGAGGAAGGUGGGGAUGACGUCAAAUCAUCAUGCCCCUUAUGACCUGGGCUACACACGUGCUACAAUGGGCGGUACAAAGGGUCGCGAACCCGCGAGGGGGAGCCAAUCCCAAAAAAGCCGCUCUCAGUUCGGAUUGCAGGCUGCAACUCGCCUGCAUGAAGCCGGAAUCGCUAGUAAUCGCGGAUCAGCAUGCCGCGGUGAAUACGUUCCCGGGCCUU